UUCACUAUUGGACUCCCAUUGAGAUUCACAGUACAAAUAGUACCGGCAUCUGUUCCCAGCAUGUACAGUGCAUUGGAAGUUAGAGAAGCUACAGUUCUUCGGAGUUUCUUAAGCAAAGAAUGCACGAAUCCUUGGCCAGAGCAACCAAGACACGAGAAAUUUAAAAAUGGAUACAAGUGGGAAAGAGGAAAUUGAAGAAUUCCUCCUUAAAGAAAGCCCGAUUCUAUACUUAAAAGGCUCAGAAGACUCCACCGGAAAUGAAGGGCAGAAAAAAAAGACAGUCAUUACAAGGAGUCAAACACAGCUUUAGCUGCACAGCUUCCUGGUGGGGAAAGAGAAGCUCUGCUUCCAAAGGUAAGCCAGUUGGAACUGGAUGAUGCUGUGCUCUGGGCAAGCCACAGCCCUCCCAAAUCUAACUGAUCUCAAGCCAGUUGCAGGUUUUGGUGAGCUAAUGAGUGGGACUGCAGUGGAGAAGAAUUCCAUCAUCUCACACUACGCUACUCAGUGGCCAUAUGUCACCGUGAGAGAAAACCUAUGUUUGAAAACUGAGCCAUCCUGUGACUAGCUUCUCAGCCAUGCCCAUUGCGUCCCAAGGAUUCUUCAAGACUGCUUGGUGUCCAACAGCUGCAUCCCUCCAGCAGGGGGACCAAUAAUCAUGAAGUGCUCUAGUUUGCUCUCAAUGGCUGUGAUAAACGCCACAACCAAAAGCAACUCGGUAAGCAAAGCCUUUAUUUCAUUUUACAACUGCAAGGUCACAAUCCACCACUCAUGGAAGUCAGGGCAGAAGCCCAAGGCAGGAACCCGAAGCAGAAACUGAUGCAGAGGCUAUGCAAGAGUGCUGCCUACUGAAUUGCUCCCUAUGCCUUGCUCAGCCUGUUUUCUUAUGCAACCUUGGAUUGCUGGACCAGGAUUGGCACCAUCCACGACAGGCUGGGCCCUCUCACAUCAAUAAUUAAUCAAGACAAUGCCCCACAGACAUGCCCACAGGUCAAUCUAAUGGAAGUAAGUCUUCAAUUGUUCCCUCUUUUAGGUAACUCUAGCCUAGGAAGUCUUGAAAGUACAAUACAGAUACUCUGCUUACACCAGUGGUUCUCAACCUGUGGGUCGCGAUGGUAGUGCCCGGGGUACCACCAAUUCGCCAUGUCCAAGAGAGGGCCUGAGGAUUAAAAACAGCGACAAGACAGCGGGUCAUUUGGGAAAUUCGUCUCAGUAGAAUGCCGAAUGCCCUUUAGUGAAGGAGGGAGGCGGUCUUAAAUACAGGCUUACAGCACAGUGGGAGAACCCCGGAGGGCAGAAGUUUGCUACUAAUGUUUUACAAUCUUGCAUCCUAGCUGCUUACACCAAAUGCAGGAUACACAAACAAGGAACCUCUGUUAAGCUGUUUAGGAGGAAGGAAACCAACCGGCAGGGAAUUAGCAUAGGGAGGACACCUGAUCAAGGUCAGCAAGCAAGGCAACAGCUACCAAGAGGUGGGGGGGCAGGGUCCAACACACGACCUCUUUGGGAGUUGACCAACCUUUUCAAAGGGGGUGCCUAAGACCAUCA